AAAAUAAGUGAGCUUUUAAACGUUUAUGAGAACAAGAAAAACAAAAAAAAUAAGAUUAUGAAGCAUAUUCAUAAGAAAGGAAGCGAUAUAAAUAGUAUUAAUUGUAGUAGUGGUAGUCAUCAUGGUAGUAAGGGUGGUAAUAAUAGUAUCAAUUAUAGUAACAACAGUAGUAGAAGCAACAGUAGAACUAACAGUAACAAUAUAAAUAAUGAAAAAUCUGAUUUAAUAAAAACGAAAAAAUUAUAUAAUUCAGAAAAUAAUAUAAUACAAGAGCACAAUCCAGAAGUAUCUUGUAGUUAUAAUUAUCCGUCAUGUGAAAAUUAUAAUAUAGAAGAGAAUACAAAUAAAAAUGUUUUAUUUCCAUAUUUGUUUAAAUUAUUAUCUAUAGCUAAACCUUUAAGUAUUCAGAUACAUCCCAACCAGAAACAAACAUUAGAUUUAAAUACAUUUAACCCAGCUGUAUAUAAAGAUAAAAUAUUUAAAACUGAAAUGUGUGUAUGCAUUAAUUACAUGAGUUUAUUAUGUGGCUUUAUGAAUAUAUUCAAAAUUUGUUUUUUAAUAAUUAACAUAAAAGAGUUAUAUGAUUUUUUUAUUACUAGAAAUGGAAAUAAACAACAAGAUGUUGAUAGGAAUGUAAAAGAAGAAUCAUCACAAGCAAAACAAUUGAAAGCGUUAAAUAAAAAUAUUAACAACAAAGGCGAUUUACAUUUAGAAAUUGUCAAAUCAACGUAUGUUAACAAAAGAGAAGCACAAAUUACUAAAGCUGUUGAACUAAAUAAGAAAAACAUCAAGGACGGUAAUAAUAGAGGCGGUAAAAACGGCAGUAAAAACGGCAGUAAAAACGGCAGUAACGACGGCAGUAAAAACGGCAGUAAAAACGGCAGUAACGACGGCAGUAACGACGGCAGUAAAAACGGCAGUAAAAACGGCAGUAACGACGGCAGUAACGACGGCAGUAACGACGGUAGUAACAACAGUAGUAACGACAGUAGUAACAACAGUAGGGAUAUUUUUGCUUUGUUUGAUUUAUUUCAUAAAAAUAAAAAUGAACAUGUAGAAAAAAUAAUACAAAUGUUAUGUAAAAUAUAUAUAUAUAUAAUUAAAUAUUCUUUAAAA
rnacentral:lncRNA from 1 species